rnacentral:rRNA from 1 species
AUUGAACGCUGGCGGCAGGCCUAACACAUGCAAGUCGAACGCGUGGCGGACGGGUGAGUAAUGUCUGGGAAACUGCCCGAUGGAGGGGGAUAACUACUGGCAACGGUAGCUAAUACCGCAUACCAUCGGAUGUGCCCAGCUGUGAUAAGAUAGUAGGUGGGGUAACGGCUCACCUAGGCGACGAGCCCUAGCUGGUCUGAGAGGAUGACCAGCCAAACUGGAACUGAAACACGGUCCAGACUCCGACGGGAGGCAGGAGUGGGGAAGAUUGCAAAAUGGGUGCAAGCCGGAGGCAGCCAUGCCGGGUGUAUGAAGAAGGACUUCGGGUUGUAAAGUACUGUCAGCGAGGAGGCGUUACUCGCAGAAGAAGCACCGGCUAACUCCGUGCCAGCCGCCGCGGUAAUAC